CUGCUCGCUUCGGUAGCACAGAUACUAAAACUGGAACGAUACAGAGAAGGUUAGCAUGGCCCCUGAGCAAGGAUGACACGCAAAUUCAUGCAAAAAGGAGUAGAAAC
rnacentral:snRNA from 1 species